rnacentral:tRNA from 1 species
GGAAAGAUGGCUGAGCGGCUUAAAGCACUGGUUUGCUAAAUCAGCGUAUGUUACAAACAUACCGUGGGUUCGAAUCCCACUCUUUCUA